GGAGGAUGAAAUGAAUCAUCAUACAGGAGACAUUCAGCACAGCGCCUGGCACCUAGUAAAUGCUCAGCAAAUGCUAACUUUUAUAAUUGUUGAGCAAAUAAAGAAAUUGAUAGAUCAACUUUCGUUUCCACCUACAUUUUCUUAUUUCUAGGGAAAAAAACAAAACAAAACAAAACACUGACAUCCUCCCUGAAAUCUAAGACACACGUUUAUCCAUGUCUGUCUGUCUCUAGUCUGCCUGUCCUGGUAAAUGAUGUCAUGGCCAACUCAUUCCAAAACUUCAAAAAGUUAACUUUAUCUGCUCACUGUCCUACAACUAAAAUGCAUGUGAGUGACAUCCAGCUCCACCUGGUGGUGAGGAUCCUGUUCUUUUACUAGUUGUCUCUUCAGCUUAAAAUCCUUUAGUGGUUCCUGUAGUCUUCAGGACACAAAUCCAAUUUAGCACAAGUGAUCUUGCCUCUGCUUUUCUCUUUCCAGUUCAUAUAGUUUGUCAUCCACCUUAAGCUG
rnacentral:lncRNA from 10 species